UUGGGGACUUGUCUGUGGAGGAGGAUGCCAGCAGUGAUGAUAUAUCUUUGGAUGGACUAGAGCAAGAACUGGAAGAAUGCAAAAAUGACGAUGUAGUUGCAAACAUACUAUUUGAAGGUACAAAAUUAAGGGAGUAUACAAAGGGGGUUGAGAACAAUUUACGGAAAGUUGAAUUGGACUUGAU